rnacentral:rRNA from 1 species
AACGCGAAGAACCUUACCUGGGCUUGACAUGUGAGUGACCGCCAUGGAAACAUGGCUUCCCUUCGGGGCACUUUCACAGGUGGUGCAUGGCUGUCGUCAGCUCGUGUCGUGAGAUGUUGGGUUAAGUCCCGCAACGAGCGCAACCCCCGUCGCAUGUUGCCAGCAUUCAGUUGGGGACUCAUGCGAGACUGCCGGUGACAAACCGGAGGAAGGUGGGGAUGACGUCAAGUCCUCAUGCCCCUUAUGUCCAGGGCUACACACGUGCUACAUUGGCGCAUACAGAGGGCUGCGAUACCGCGAGGUGGAGCGAAUCCCUUAAAGUGCGUCUCGGUUCGGAUUGCAGGCUGAAAUUCGCCUGCAUGAAGGCGGAGUUGCUAGUAAUCGCGGAUCAGCAUUGCCGCGGUGAAUACGUUCCCGGGCCUUGUACACACCGCUAGUC